rnacentral:rRNA from 1 species
CAGCAGCCGCGGGAAUACGGAGGGUGCAAGCGUUAAUCGGAAUUACUGGGCGUAAAGCGCACGCAGGCGGUCUGACAAGUCAGAUGUGAAAUCCCCGGGCUUAACCUGGGAACUGCAUUUGAAACUGUCAGGCUGGAGUCUUGUAGAGGGGGGUAGAAUUCCAGGUGUAGCGGUGAAAUGCGUAGAGAUCUGGAGGAAUACCGGUGGCGAAGGCGGCCCCCUGGACAAAGACUGACGCUCAGGUGCGAAAGCGUGGGGAGCAAACAGGAUUAGAUACCCGUGUAGUCCCUGUCUCUUAUAA